rnacentral:rRNA from 1 species
GAUGAACGCUGGCGGCGUGCCUAGUACAUGCAAGUCGAGCGAACAGACGAGGAGCUUGCUCCUCUGACGUUAGCGGCGGACGGGUGAGUAACACGUGGAUAACCUACCUAUAAGACUGGGAUAACUUCGGGAAACCGGAGCUAAUACCGGAUAAUAUAUUGAACCGCAUGGUUCAAUAGUGAAAGACGGUUUUGCUGUCACUUAUAGAUGGAUCCGCGCCGCAUUAGCUAGUUGGUAAGGUAACGGCUUACCAAGGCAACGAUGCGUAGCCGACCUGAGAGGGUGAUCGGCCACACUGGAACUGAGACACGGUCCAGACUCCUACGGGAGGCGGCAGUAGGGAAUCUUCCGCAAUGGGCGAAAGCUUGACGGAGCAACGCCGCGUGAGUGAUGAAGGUCUUCGGAUCGUAAAACUCUGUUAUUAGGGAAGAACAAAUGUGUAAGUAACUAUGCACGUCUUGACGGUACCUAAUCAGAAAGCCACGGCUAACUACGUG